GCACUCGUAUUAAUUAAUACUAAUGGAAUCGACAUCAGUUGGUCGCCAUACAUCAUUACAUUAAUACUUAUGAUUCUGAUGCCUUGCGGCCAACGUUGUGUGGAACUAUAUUAGUAAUUGGUGCCGUGUACCGCAAAUUUUCGCGUUCUCUUUUCAAGAUCUGUUUAUGACAACCGGCCCUUGGAGUGCCCCGGGACGUUUGUUCAGCUAUAUAGUGCACGUGUGGUGAUAUACAGAAAAUCUGCUUAAUAUUACGCGACAACGGACUGAAACCGCACGAAAUACAGACAAACACACACACCUGAUGCUCUCCCUUUCCGGCGACACCCCACCGGCGGAGCCACGACGGUGCCGACGCCAGCGGCGGAGCUCUGGCGAUCCCCAUUUUGGCGCGUGACAGCGCGUGUACCCCUCUUUUCCUCCGAUCUACCAUCCAAUCCCUUUUCUGGUGCUGGUUCGCGGAUUCGAGCGGCGGUGGCGGCCACCUUCUUCUCCGGUGGUCUCUUCUGACGAGCACAGCCCCCCUUUUUACGAUUCGGAAAAAAUCACCACCACCGUCGUCCGGUGGUGGUGCGGCGGCUACACAUGGAGAUACCGAGAGAGAGAGAGAAAGAACCGGCGGUCGGAGUCUCGGACCACCGGUCGGUUCAAUUAUCCGACGGUCUUUGUUUCUAACCGACGGUUUUCCGAUGAUGAUGCGAUGAUGAAGAUGAGACGUUGAAGAUAAUCAGAGAAACCGAUCUUUCCGGUGAAGUUCGCCGGCGACGGCAGUGGAGUGUUCUCCGCUGAAAUUUGACGCUUGUGUUUGGUUCCAGGUCUCGACUCAGUUUCAAGCAGGUGGUGUGCGUUCGAGUUCAAGUGACUUGGUUCAGGUUUAGUUUAAAAUGGUUCGUCUCGGUUUGGGUUCUCGGUACAAGACAGUCAACGGGUUUAGGUUCAGCUCGGUUCUCAGGUUCGGGUCAGCUGGUCAACGGUCAGAAAUUUCGUGGUUCGGGUUGACUCGGUCAAACUCAGGUCAACAGUGAGUUGACUCGGUCAACUCAGUUAGGCGGUACGAUGAUUCGACAUGAAGAUUUGGUAAAGAUUAACGACGUGUUUAAUAUUUACGUUAUAUUUAGUUUUAAUACUUACCUGUGAAACGAGCUCGAAACGAAUUAACUAUUAGUUCAUAUCUUAAAUUAUUCGUCAAGAUUUAUAUAAAUAUUGAUUACAUUGUUU
rnacentral:lncRNA from 1 species